rnacentral:rRNA from 1 species
AACGAACGCUGGCGGCAUGCCUAACACAUGCAAGUCGAACGAUGCCUUCGGGUCUAGUGGCGCGCGGGUGCGUAACGCGUGAGAGCGUGCGUUAAGGGUCGGAAUACCUCCCCGAACUGGGGGCUAAUACCGGGAAAUGGCGGCGAACCAAAGAUUUAUCGCUUUUGUAGGAGCCUGCGUUGGAUUAGCUUAUUGUUAGGGUAAGAGCCUACCUAGGCGCCGAUCCGUAGCUGGUCUGAGAGGAUGAACAGCCACACUGGGACUGAGACACGGCCCAGAAUCCUACGGGAGGCAGCAGUGGGGAAUAUUGGACCAUGGGCGAGAGCCUGAUGCAGCACUGCCGGGUGAGUGAUGAAGGCCUUAGGGUUGUAAAGCUCUUUUACUCGGGAUGAUAAUGACAGUACCUGGAGAAUAAGCGCCGGCUAACUCCGUG